UUGGGCGGGGCCAGGAGGUGCCGCUCCAAGGAAUGAGGCUGAAGUGCCAGGAAAUAUCACCAUUCCCUGUUGGACUCGGGGGUACAGGGGUCCCGGACUGGGUGAGGACGACCCCGGGUAUUCGGGGACCUGAAAACUCCCCGGAGCCGCAGUCUCCGCGCGGGGCGGCCUGGGAAAGUCACCAGUCAGCAGCGCAGUGGCGGGAACCGCAGCCCGGCGGCCCUGGAACCUCCCAGGGUCUGUUGACAUUCAGUGCUGUGACUGUGGACUUGUAAGAGGAGUGGGAAUGCCUAGACCCUGAUCACAGGGCUUUUUGCACAGAUCUCCUGUUGGAGAACUGCAGCAGUCUGGAUUCUGAAGGUGUUAGCCUCUUUUGUUUUUGCUCCUUGCAAAGUUCCAGGUGCUUUCUGAAGAAUCUCUUUCUCCUAUGCAGUCUCACAAGGUUGGUCAGUCCUGCUCACCUGUGGAGCAGAACAAAGAGCCCUGGAUGGAGAAGAGAGAGGAGACAGUAGCAAAGGAC